rnacentral:sRNA from 1 species
GUGUACACUUAAAGCAUUCUGGGAAUAUGAAUCCCUUCUGCACCCGGGAUUCACCAGUCCAGCCAUGCAUGGAGCUGGGGAAAGCAGGCCCUGAACUGUCUAGAGAGACUUGGUGGAGGAGGCCACGGCCCGUCUUGUCCCUGCCGGGUCCUGGCCAGGAACAACUGGAUGUUGUAAAUGUUUCUCAUCUGGCCUUAAAAUCCAUGAAAGCUGGAAAAUGCCAAGGCAUCUGUGCACAUACUGGUGGAUUUUAAUGAGAGUCCUGUGUUUGGAGCACCAGAAAUAAACCAGCUUCAGAAGCAAAGUUAACAGGAGGAGGAAGCAGAGCUAGAGCUGGAAGGAGACCCAGCCAGCCCGGGCUCCAGUGACAUCAGCCGGUACACGCUCUUGUUUGCUUACGCUUGUUGAACUGAGUUUUUCAUAUGUAACUAACCAAUACUGGCACAUGUGAGACUGGGCAUGAUUCAGAAAAGCUGGAAGAUCUAGAGAGGGAUCUUGCAAUCUGAAGUUUGUUUAGUCACUGGAGGUGAGCCCGAGAAUUUGCAUUUCUGACAAGAUCCCAGGUGAGGCUCACUCGUGCUGCUGGCUUUGGGACCACACUUAACUCCCGGAUUUGAACGUCUAUGACACUCUUCCGAGCUGACACAGUGAAGAACAUGGAAGGAGAACUCACCCAGUCUGCCAGGGUCACAGAUGAUCAUACUCAAGAUCUUCCUGGGGAGUCAACGGCAAAUUUCACUGGGCUACUUUACAGAUGAAGAAGGAAUAUAAAGAAGGUUCUGGGACCCU